rnacentral:tRNA from 1 species
GGAGAGGUGGCAGAGUGGUUGAAUGCGGCGGUCUUGAAAACCGUUGUACCGAGGAAUCGGUACCGGGGGUUCGAAUCCCUCCCUCUCCG